rnacentral:siRNA from 1 species
UUUGAGUGCAGAAUCUCCUCU